rnacentral:rRNA from 1 species
UACGGAAGGCAGCAGUGGGGAAUAUUGCACAAUGGGCGCAAGCCUGAUGCAGCCAUGCCGCGUGUAUGAAAAAGGCCUUCGGGUUGUAAAGUACUUUCAGUCGUGAGGAAGGUGUUAAGGUUAAUAACCUUAGCAAUUGACGUUAGCGACAGAAGAAGCACCGGCUAACUCCGUGCCAGCAGCCGCGGUAAUACGGAGGGUGCGAGCGUUAAUCGGAAUUACUGGGCGUAAAGGGCACGCAGGCGGUUAAUUAAGUUGGAUGUGAAAUCCCCGGGCUUAACCUGGGAAUGGCAUUCAAGACUGGUUAGCUAGAGUCUUGUAGAGGGGGGUAGAAUUCCAUGUGUAGCGGUGAAAUGCGUAGAGAUGUGGAGGAAUACCGGUGGCGAAGGCGGCCCCUGGACAAAGACUGACGCUCAUGUGCGAAAGCGUGGGGAGCAAACGAGGGAUUUAGAUACC